rnacentral:rRNA from 1 species
AACUCUAAGGAGACUGCCGGUGACAAACCGGAGGAAGUGGGGGAUGACGUCAAGUCAUCAUGGCCCUUACGGCCAGGGCUACACACGUGCUACAAUGGUCGGUACAAAGGGGUUGCCAAGCCGCGAGGUGGAGCUAAUCCCAUAAAACCGAUCGUAGUCCGGAUCGCAGUCUGCAACUCGACUGCGUGAAGUCGGAAUCGCUAGUAAUCGUGAAUCAGAAUGUCACGGUGAAUACGUUCCCGGGCCUU